AUUGAACGCUGGCGGCAGGCCUAACACAUGCAAGUCGAGCGGAUGAGUGGAGCUUGCUCCAUGAUUCAGCGGCGGACGGGUGAGUAAUGCCUAGGAAUCUGCCUGGUAGUGGGGGACAACGUUUCGAAAGGAACGCUAAUACCGCAUACGUACUACGGGAGAAAGCAGGGGACCUUCGGGCCUUGCGCUAUCAGAUGAGCCUAGGUCGGAUUAGCUAGUAGGUGAGGUAAUGGCUCACCUAGGCGACGAUCCGUAACUGGUCUGAGAGGAUGAUCAGUCACACUGGAACUGAGACACGGUCCAGACUCCUACGGGAGGCAGCAGUGGGGAAUAUUGGACAAUGGGCGAGAGCCUGAUCCAGCCAUGCCGCGUGUGUGAAGAAGGUCUUCGGAUUGUAAAGCACUUUAAGUUGGGAGGAAGGGCAGUAAGUUAAUACCUUGCUGUUUUGACGUUACCAACAGAAUAAGCACCGGCUAACUUCGUGCCAGCCGCCGCAGUAACAC
rnacentral:rRNA from 1 species